rnacentral:lncRNA from 1 species
UUCUUCAUCUUCUUCGAUCACCGCUUCAGCUUCUUCAUCUUCUCCAAUCAAUCGAUCGCUUCCAAGCUUUUGAUCGUGAGAUCUGCUUCUUCUUCCAGCUAUGGCAACCUCUGCAUCUCAUUCUUCAGAAUCGGAGUCUCCUAUUCAUCCAAUUCUUGAUACAAUUUCUAACCCUAAUUCUGCAAUUUCUGCUUUCAUUACGAUCCAGAACAUUGGAUCUAUGGUUCCGAUUAAGCUCAUAACAACAAACUACUUGACCUUGAGUGCC